rnacentral:pre_miRNA from 1 species
UUGAAGGAAUUUGAAGACAUUAAUUUUCACACUUAGAAGCUUUGAUGAUUUUAGCUUGCAUACUUGGAAGAUUUGAAGACUUCAACU